rnacentral:tRNA from 2 species
GCGGGACUGGCGGAAUUGGUAGACGCGCUAGUUUCAGGUACUAGUGUCCUCACAGACUUCCGGGUUCAAGUCCCGGGUUCCGCA